rnacentral:tRNA from 1 species
GAGGGUAUAGCUCAGUGGAACUGUGCAUGCUUGCAUGCAUGAGGUCAUGGGUUCGAUUCCCAAUACCUCUG